ensembl:lncRNA
CAGAGAUUUGACAUAGCUUUCAAAGGGGCUUCACUGGAAUGCAGUCGGUCGCUUUGUGCAGUAGAGUUCUUGAACAGGAGGUAAUCUGACACGAAGUGUAUUUACAGUAUUGGUGGCCUACUACUACUGCUGCAGUCAUUGCUUUUCCUGAGGAUGCCAUAAACACAGAAUAUUUUCUCAAGCCAAAUUCUGGUGCUGCCUGUUUUCUGCCUCGUCCUCUGCAGGACAUUCUUGAACCAAAACCUUGAGAAGCAGCAUUUAUUACUUGGUAUAGCUAUCUGCUGAGAAGAGAAAUGUGAAAUAGACUCCCUAAAGAAGUGGUGUGCCAAAACCAUGGAAGACACUCCAUUGAGAAAAUUCAUGUGCCU